AGCUGGCAGAAGCUGUGCCUAUUUAUGCUUCCGCUUGAUUGUUCUGUUAACCAUCCAUUUGUAAGAUAGUUGUUCCUAUCACAAAGUCUUGCAUUGCCACUGUGCAGAAACUCAUAAUUUCUGGCACAGAAAAUCAUUUUAAAAGUGCUACUUUUCGUUAUGGUAAUACUCUGACUGACCUGAAGUUCUACGACAGGAUGCAUACAUUACUUGUUGUGAUCCCUGCGAUGAUUGUGGCUGUUGGAUUGGCGUGUGAUCCAGACGGUUUCCGCCGUGACUCAGGAACUUGUGAUCGGAAAUUUCACCAAGAUCUUCAAAGAACGGGAUUUGAUCUUCAAACCAACUAUGACUGUUGUCCAUUCCAUCAAAUGGUUGAGUGCAUGAAGCUCGCGGCCCGCUUUAGCGACUGCGGCAAGGAACGGCUCCACAUUGAAGAGAUCAAAAGACUGAGAAGGUCUCAAGGCCUGACAAGACAACAUUGUAUCGAAGGAAAGGAGCUGUGUAAACUUAAUCUGUACGAAAUUUAAAGUACUACACCGUUUCUCACAAACUGGAUGAAUAAUUCGACCACAUAUGCUAGUUGCAUUGAUUCUUCGCUACAAAUUGCGACAAACUGACGACGAAUUAGAUCUUCUUCAAUAGACAAACUAACGCAUUUUACGAAAUCUUUCUUUAUCACAUGGGAUAUCUGCUAUACCAACGCAUCCUGUAGCAGCAAAAUCGCACUAAAAAAAGCUCGUGCUGCGCGUAAUCUUUCUAGUAAUCUAGAAUCUGGUAGAUGUUUUUUCAAAUCACAGUCAUACGAACAGUAGGAACAUCGUCGAAUGAACAGGUAGGGGAUGAGACUAUACAUUUCCAAAGAUCUGUAAAAUUGUUGUAGAAAUGAAACAACUGCAUGAGCAGUAGAUCGAAAUAAUUACGAACUCCAUAGCCAUCACUCCUAAAUGCCGUUACGUUCGCCAGCCUCCUGCUUACAAGAUAAAUCAGCUAAUUAUUAAAUUAUUACAAAACAAAGCUAUUGUUUUGAAUACUAAAUAGACCGAUAUUUUAAAUUAGUAGUGGGUCAGCUAGCGGGUGCUUUAUAUAUAUUUCUUCCGGGAGCCUUAUCGAACUUGUGGAAGCUAAUAUAAUGUCUACUUUAUAUACUUGGUUGGAUAAAACGUAAAGCGUUUCUUGGCAUGGAGUAGCUUUUUAUGGAACAAACUGGAGGCCCUGUAUAUGGCGCCGAAUCCUAGUCGAGCCAAUAUGUUUAUAUGGAUACUCAAUAUAUGAUGCCCUGUUUUUCUUCAAAUACAAAAUUUUAGAUACAAAUACAAUUCUGAGAGUUUCACUAAGACAGUAUAUUAUUAAAGUGUCGUCGGACUUGUGAGCCUCAUUACUGCUGCCACACCCCGAAAUGUUACGAAAGUUUAUCACACAUUGUCCUAUUGUAGUAGGAAUAGUACCGUUUAAUGGCACUGAUACAUUUUUACGCUUCAUGAAUCGCUUCAAGCAAGGCAUUUUAAGAUGCUUUCAUACGGGUACAUAGGGCUCGUGGGCUUGAUAACCCAAACAACAAAUAAUGUGAUGCACGCAAGAAUAUAAAAGCUUAGUAAAACAUAUCAGAUGUUUAUGUAGUAUACGGCAACUGCAUUAUUACGAAAUUAGUACUGCUGUACCUUCUGUAAACCCUGUAGCAACGAUAAUCGCUUUUAGGUAGCUUGUCUUAGAUAUAUCUGUGAUUUACGAAUGGAGACGUUCGUUUAUCCAUAUACUCGUCUAAUGUUUAGCUUCCUAACCUUGGUAGCUUCCUAACUUUUUCUUCGUAACGCGUGAUCCUGAAAUUGUUCGAUAAAGGAAAUUGUUCCGAUAGGAAGCCUUGUUACAGCCGCAAACCCGCCAAAGUUCUAGUAAAGUUUACACUAGUUGACAGCCAGCGUUAUUCACUAGAGUAACGUGUGGCUCAUUGAAAAAGAGUUCGUGUCAAGCGCUCUUAAUACAAACAAUACUCUGCUCAAAUUGGUCAAUAACAUAAUCGAAGGAGAAAUUUGUGUAGCGCUUUUUUUUAAUGGGAAAUUCAUAAUUAAUAUUGCUGUUAAAAUAAAACCUCGAGCACGCCUAUCAUCGUAGCACAUAGGACAGAAUCACGCUACUAAUAAUGCUACAACAAGCCCAGCAAGAUCAGAUUGUUCCCCUCAGAUAAAGUCAAAAAUGAAGAGAAGUGAAUAUUCGUCGUGACUACUACUUACAAAUAUUAACGGUAACAAAAACUACUAAAAAGUAACAAAUAUCAAUGUGUUCCCUCUGACACCUACAAAAGCCGCUUCCAUGUUAUACAAACAAGUCACUUAAAUUUUCUACAAAAGACAGGCAAGUACAUAUGGUCAACUCAAAGAACUUUUUUAAAAGACACUUCCAGUCAUCGCCAGAAGAAUGGCUAAAAUUACAAAGAUUAUUAAUGUUUUUCUUGGAAAAUAAACGCUUGUUGCUUAUUUAAAUGUUUUAGGUGCACUUUAGAACUCGAGUUCUACAGCUGUGAUCAGGACAAACAACUACCAGGUCAGAUUAAUGGAAACAUAUUUUUGUCCGAAACUUGUGCAGAAAAGUUAUUAAAGGUUGCUUAAGCUAAUACAGUCCCAUGAAGUCCGCGGCAAGGAGCUGAAGCUUUAAAUUUGUGGAAUUGCGCUACUCGAUCCUGAAUAUCUACUUUUACCUAUGAAUAAAUAUAUAUACCAAAAUAAAAUACAAUAGGAUAGAAAAAGUUGAAAUUAUAACUCCUACUACAUGAAGCAGGCAACAGUUGGGCACGGCUGAAGACAUCAAUAGCAUUGUCAACGGGAAGCAGGAAAAACCUCGUGCAAAGUUCCCAGCAAAAGCAACUGAAAGGGUUGACUAAGCUGCGUGCUGUGGAAAAAUGAUUUACUAAUUUCAUAUUAAAAUAUAUUGACUUACAGGCUCUAACAAAAAAAAAGAAAAAUGGGAAAAGUAGAUGAAAUUUCAAAUAAUACAAUAAACAAGCCUACGCAAGAACACGCAUUACUCAA